rnacentral:lncRNA from 1 species
CAAGGUGAUAGAGCACCUGAUGCAGCAAGCACCGAUUCAUCCUUUGAUUCCCCUCAGCUCAUGCAAGGUUGCGCUGAAGGCUUGCUGCUGCUUGCACAGGUUGCUGCAACUUCUCAUGAAGGCCUCCAAGCUUGCCUCUCCACACCUGCAUCGCCUGACUUAGCUGCAGGCUUCCACGGGCGGUCCACACUCCAACAGGUGCACAUCACUUUUCACCUCUCGUUUUUUUUUAUUAUUAAGCUCAUUAGCUCACUACUUUGAACACUUUGCUGAAGAGCAAACCACUGAAUAGCAUAGGUAUUCUUGCUUUUAGGAAGCCAUGGAUAUACAGCAUGAAAGUGCAGAUCCAAUCAGUUUACCUGACCCAGAUCCCUCCAACCUAAGUGCCAGUCAUUUCAUCGAGCCAGCACUUGUACAGACUCCCAUGGAUAUUGGUGAGGAGAGUGAAGCACAG